AUGUCGUUUGACUCCAAUGAGAAACAACGUUGGGUUAAGAAGAUAGUAGAUAACUAUGUCUGGGUUCAUGCGGCAAAGUUCAUCCCACGGAAGCAAUGGUUUGUAACUGGGGAAGACUUUGGGAAAAUCCGUGUGUACUCGUGUGUUACAAUGACAGAGAUAAAGAAAUUCCGAGCUUAUUAUUCUGCUCAUAUCCAUUCUUUGGCGGUUCACCCAACCUAUCCAUUGCUAAUAACGCUAGCAACGUGGGAUGAUUGUGAGGACCCCAUCAGGCUUUGGGACUGGGAUAAGGGCUGGAAAUGUUGUCAGAGAAUUAGCGGGGGCUCGGCAUGUGGACCUGACACUCAGUUAAGGUUUAACCCCAAGGACACAACAACAUUUGCUGGUGCUCAAGACGGAAUUUGCCAUGUCUGGUCAGUUCAUUCUUCCAAGCCUCUCAUCACAAUAAUGCCCCCGAACUGUUAUGGAGACGUGUGUGACUACCUCUACACUGAUAGUCACCGACAAUAUCUUAUUACCAUCACUGAGGACUGUGCUUUAAGGGUAGGCCAUAUCUCCGCUCAACAACAUUCAUGA
rnacentral:rRNA from 1 species